UACGUAGGGGCCUAGCGUUGUCCGGAUUUAUUGGGCGUAAAGAGCUCGUAGGCGGUUCGUCGCGUCGGCUGUGAAAUCCCGAGGCUCAACCUCGGGUCUGCAGUCGAUACGGGCGGACUGGAGUUCGGCAGGGGAGACUGGAAUUCCUGGUGUAGCGGGUGAAAUGCGCAGAUAUCAGGAGGAACACCGGUGGCGAAGGCGGGACUCUGGGCCGAUACUGACGUGGAGGAGCGAAAGCGUGGGGAGCAAACAGG
rnacentral:rRNA from 1 species